CAGACUCCACGGUCUUCAUGGCUUCGAACCUUGGCUCCUUGGCUUGGAACUUGAGGUCAGCAUAGAGAUUCAUGUAGUCCUCAAACACAAAUUUGGGGUACACUUGAGAUUUGUCAGCUUCUUUCUCUAGCAAAGCUGGUGCUGGAUAUAUAACAGCAUCACUGCCCGGGUUGUAGAAGGAAGCAAUGGACAUUCUGGUCCCAUCUGUUUGAGCAAUCACACGGUGCAUCACACUCUUAUAUUUACCAUUUGUGAUUA
rnacentral:lncRNA from 1 species